UACGAAGGGGGCUAGCGUUGCUCGGAAUCACUGGGCGUAAAGCGCACGUAGGCGGAUUGUUAAGUCAGGGGGGAAAUCCUGGAGCUCAACUCCAGAACUGCCUUUGAUACUGGCGAUCUUGAGUCCGGGAGAGGUGAGUGGAACUCCGAGUGUAGAGGUGAAAUUCGUAGAUAUUCGGAAGAACACCAGUGGCGAAGGCGGCUCACUGGCCCGGUACUGACGCUGAUGUGCGAAAGCGUGGGGAGCAAACAGG
rnacentral:rRNA from 1 species